rnacentral:rRNA from 1 species
UACGUAGGGUGCGAGCGUUAAUCGGAAUUACUGGGCGUAAAGCGUGCGCAGGCGGUUUUGUAAGACAGACGUGAAAUCCCCGGGCUUAACCUGGGAACUGCGUUUGUGACUGCAAGACUAGAGUACGGCAGAGGGGGGUAGAAUUCCACGUGUAGCAGUGAAAUGCGUAGAGAUGUGGAGGAAUACCGAUGGCGAAGGCAGCCCCCUGGGAUAACACUGACGCUCAUGUACGAAAGCGUGGGUAGCAAACAGG